rnacentral:rRNA from 1 species
ACUUAAAUUGAAGAGUUUGAUCAUGGCUCAGAUUGAACGCUGGCGGCAGGCCUAACACAUGCAAGUCGAGCGGUAGCACAGAGAGCUUGCUCUCGGGUGACGAGCGGCGGACGGGUGAGUAAUGUCUGGGAAACUGCCUGAUGGAGGGGGAUAACUACUGGAAACGGUAGCUAAUACCGCAUAACGUCGCAAGACCAAAGAGGGGG